CCCAAGGGAAGAUGCAGCCCCUUCUGCCUGCCAGUGUGUGAUACCAGCUCCUGGUACCCACGGGGUGCAGGGCCCAGCAGUUUUCCCUGUUCAGGAGUCAGGUCUAAUCUACCUCCUCACUCAGUGUGAGAAAACUGGAGCCAUGAGUCCCAAACAAGCUGGGGGAGUCACAGGAAAGCUAGGCUGGUCUGAACUCAGGGGCUCUUGUUAGAUGGGAAGUGACCAGGAUCUUGAGUGGCCUUAAGGCUGGGGCCCCCCAGGAGGGAGGAUGGUUGGCUCUCCCAGUUGGAAAUUGCCUAACAUUCCCUGCAUUUCUGAGCCUGUCCUCCUCCAUCACUUGCUAAGAGAAUCAUAUCACAGGUGCUAGGAGCCCAUUCUAUAACAUGAAUCGGAAUGGAUUAAAAUCUUGUUUUCUUCUAAUCUGCCUUGCAAGGGUUGCUUGAAAAAUCAAAGGGAGGCACUUUCCAGGCAUAAAGCCUGUACUGUCUGGCUUGCCAUGCUACAUUCAGCUAAAGGGCAAUAACAGUGAUUCCCUUUGCUACUUUAGAAAGAGGAGUUUUAACUCCUCAGUCCGUCUGCAGGCCAGGGGCUUUUCAAACAUUUUCCUUAAAGCAAAGGAGGGAUCCAAGUAAGGAUUUUGUGGAUUUCUGCAGUGGAUGCUCAUUUGUGUAUUUUGCAAGAGCCAAAGCAUCCUGGUGGGCAUCUCUGUUACCCAUCCAGAAAACGGAAGGUUUUUCUGUUUUACAGUUUAACGAGCAUUUUCCCUCCUGCCUCCUCAGGGGAAAAAAGAAAAGAGAGAAAGAAAGCCCUGUGACUAGAAUUAUAAUGAGCCCCCAAAGGUGGUCCUUAUUAUCUUCUGUAACUUAGCAACAUGCUGGGGGAGCAACGAGGAGGGUUUGCAUUCAUUGGUGAGAAGUGGGUGGAAAGAAGGAACUAUGCCUGGUGCACCAGGUACAAUGCGAGGAGGCGUCUGUGCCUGCAGUUCUACUUCUGAGGAAGGAAGGAAAGAAGAGAAAUUGCAUCCGCAGUGAUGGGCACGAGACUUGUGAGGCUGCUACAAGAUCGAUCCAUGGGAUGCCCAGGGAAGGGACUUGGAACUGGUCUCUGCUCCCAGUGUAUGCAAUUUGCCUGCCAUCGAAUUUCCAGGAAGAAACACCCCACCUAGUUUUAUAGCUGGAGAUGAACUUGUGACAGCUGCCCUCAGAAUGUAUCUAGGGAGGUUUCUAGCGAAAUAGCCCAGGGCUUUGGGAACAUAUGGGUCAGAUUUUCAGGGCGUACAAAGUGGCAGAUUAACAGUUGGUAGAGGCAGGUUUCAAAUGAUACUUUGUGCUGACCUGAAAUCCUGGGGGGCAACAUGUAGUAGAAAUUCUCCUCGCAAACAUUCAAGUACAG
rnacentral:lncRNA from 1 species